GAUGAACGCUGGCGGCGUGCCUAAUACAUGCAAGUCGAGCGAACAGACGAGGAGCUUGCUCCUCUGACGUUAGCGGCGGACGGGUGAGUAACACGUGGAUAACCUACCUAUAAGACUGGGAUAACUUCGGGAAACCGGAGCUAAUACCGGAUAAUAUAUUGAACCGCAUGGUUCAAUAGUGAAAGACGGUUUUGCUGUCACUUAUAGAUGGAUCCGCGCCGCAUUAGCUAGUUGGUAAGGUAACGGCUUACCAAGGCAACGAUGCGUAGCCGACCUGAGAGGGUACGGGCACACUGGGAAUGAGAGAAGCGCCCGACUCCCACAGGGGGGAGCAGAGGGGGAACUUUCCCGAAGGGGGAAAAACUGUCAGGGCAAAACCGCGCGUGGGUGAGGAGGGUUUGGGGUGUAAAAAACUCUUUUUUUGGGGAAAAAAAAAUGUUUAAAAAACUGAGAAGGUUUGACGGGAACCAAAGAGAAAGCCACGGGUAACUACGGG
rnacentral:rRNA from 1 species